GAUGAACGCUGGCGGCGUGCCUAACACAUGCAAGUCGAACGGAGCACCUUACCUGAUUCUUCGGAUGAAAGUUGGGUGACUGAGUGGCUGACGGGUGAGUAACGCGUGUGUAACCGGGCCUGUACAGGGGGAUAACAGCUGGAAACGGCUGCUAAUACCUCAUACGCGCACGAGGAGACAUCUCCUUGUGUGAAGAACUCCGGUGGUACAGGAUGGGCCCGCGUCUGAUUAGCUGGUUGGCAGGGUGACUUCCUACCAAGGCAACGAUCAGUAGCCGGUAUGAGAGCCUGCCAGGUAAGAUUGGAGAUGCGACACGGUCCACACCCCGACGCAACGGAGGAGUGGGGAAUACUGUAGGCUGGGGGCAAAUGCGACGACGCCACGCCGCGUAAGUGAAGAAGUAUUUUGGUAUGCACAGCUGUAUGAGAAGGGAAGAUAGUGACGGUAACUGAUAAAGAAGCACCGGCUAAAUACGUG
rnacentral:rRNA from 1 species